AUUGAACGCUGGCGGCAUGCUUUACACAUGCAAGUCGAACGAGUGGCGAACGGGUGAGUACUAUAUCGGAACGUACCGAGUAAUGGGGGAUAACCAAUCGACAGAUUGGCUAAUACCGCAUAUUAUUGGAGCGGCCGAUAACUGAUUAGCUAGUUGUGGGGGUAAAGGCCUACCAAGGCGACGAUCCGUAGCGGGUCUGAGAGGACGAGCAGGCACACUGGGACUGAGACAGGGCCCAGACGCCUACGGGAGGCAGCAGUGGGGAAUUUUGGACAAGGGGCGCAAGCCUGAGCCAGCCAUGCCGCGUGUAUGAAGAAGGCCUUCGGGUUGUAAAGUACUUUUGUUAGGGAAGCGGUACCUAAAGAAGAAGCACCGGCUAACUACGUGCCAGCAGCCGCGGUAAUAC
rnacentral:rRNA from 1 species